GUGCUCACUUCACUAGCACAUACACUAAAAUCAAAAUGAUACAAAGAUUAGCAUGGGUCUGCACAAGGAUGGCAUGCAAAUCUGUGACACAUUCCAUAUUUUU